CUGAUGGGCUGGAUUAGCCCCCCUGCAAGUAAGGCCAAGAGAAAGAGGUGGCUGGCUCUGUGUUCACUUCUUAUAGCCUUUCAGAGCCCCGCUUAGACGCAGACCUGCAGAUCUUCUGAAAAUGAUUCACAAGUCCUGAGAGGUUUUCUAGCUGCACAAAAUGAAGUGCUCUCACUUCAUCCUCCCGAGGACUGGAAACAAGCUGAACUGCAUUUUAGAAGAUUCACUCUGGCUGUUGAGGAGUCUCUAAUGGAAGACUCUAGAGUCCCGGAUCUGGGAGGCCAGGUGGCCGAGCCAAGGUGGAGACCAUGCAGAUGAAGGGCAGCAGGCAGAUGCAAAACUGUUCAGGGCUGGCACUCACAGGACCUCGUGACAGCUGAACAUGAGAGGUACCACAUUCUGAUGACCCCACAGGGACCUUUUUAAAAAGACAAGUGAGUAAGCAAAGGCACACAUGCAAGCCAGCCCCAGCAGCCCAGCACAACCUCAGAAGGGCCUUCAUCCAGCCACCAGAUGGCAGCUGCAGACACCAGAUAAAGCCUUCCAUUGUCAACCGAGGCCCACAUUUCAGAAGCUGCUAAAGGAGUAAAUCAUCCAGUCCGGGGUUGCUCAUCUCCUCAUCAGAAUAUCAGAAGACUCCAUUGCCCUUCCUCACACAGAUUCUUCUAAUAACACACGAGAAAAAUCUUGUAAAUCUGA